AUUGGCGCAGCGGUAGCGCGCUUCCCUGACACGGAAGAGGUCACUGGUUCGAUCCCAGUAUCGCCCA
rnacentral:tRNA from 1 species